rnacentral:rRNA from 1 species
UGGCGGCAGGCUUAACACAUGCAAGUCGAACGAUGACUCUCUAGCUUGCUAGAGAUGAUUAGUGGCGGACGGGUGAGUAACAUUUAGGAAUCUGCCUAGUAGUGGGGGAUAGCUCGGGGAAACUCGAAUUAAUACCGCAUACGACCUACGGGUGAAAGGGGGCGCAAGCUCUUGCUAUUAGAUGAGCCUAAAUCAGAUUAGCUAGUUGGUGGGGUAAAGGCCCACCAAGGCGACGAUCUGUAACUGGUCUGAGAGGAUGAUCAGUCACACCGGAACUGAGACACGGUCCGGACUCCUACGGGAGGCAGCAGUGGGGAAUAUUGGACAAUGGGGGCAACCCUGAUCCAGCCAUGCCGCGUGUGUGAAGAAGGCCUUUUGGUUGUAAAGCACUUUAAGCAGGGAGGAGAGGCUAAUGGUUAAUACCCAUUAGAUUAGACGUUACCUGCAGAAUAAGCACCGGCUAACUCUGUGCCAGCAGCCGCGGUAAUACAGAGGGUGCGAGCGUUAAUCGGAAUUACUGGGCGUAAAGCGAGUGUAGGUGGCUCAUUAAGUCACAUGUGAAAUCCCCGGGCUUAACCUGGGAACUGCAUGUGAUACUGGUGGUGCUAGAAUAUGUGAGAGGGAAGUAGAAUUCCAGGUGUAGCGGUGAAAUGCGUAGAGAUCUGGAGGAAUACCGAUGGCGAAGGCAGCUUCCUGGCAUAAUAUUGACACUGAGAUUCGAAAGCGUGGGUAGCAAACAGGAUUAGAUACCCUGGUAGUCCACGCCGUAAACGAUGUCUACUAGCCGUUGGGGUCCUUGAGACUUUAGUGGCGCAGUUAACGCGAUAAGUAGACCGCCUGGGGAGUACGGCCGCAAGGUUAAAACUCAAAUGAAUUGACGGGGGCCCGCACAAGCGGUGGAGCAUGUGGUUUAAUUCGAUGCAACGCGAAGAACCUUACCUGGUCUUGACAU